rnacentral:rRNA from 1 species
CCUACGGGAGGCAGCAGUGAGGAAUAUUGGUCAAUGGACGAGAGUCUGAACCAGCCAAGUAGCGUGAAGGAUGACUGCCCUAUGGGUUGUAAACUUCUUUUAUAUGGGAAUAAAAUGUUCCACGUGUGGGAUUUUGUAUGUACCAUGUGAAUAAGGCUCGGCUAACUCCGUGCCAGCAGCCGCGGUAAUACGGAGGAUCCGAGCGUUAUCCGGAUUUAUUGGGUGUAAAGGGAGCGUAGGUGGAUUGUUAAGUCAGUUGUGAAAGUUUGCGGCUCAACCGUAAAAUUGCAGUUGAAACUGGCAGUCUUGAGUACAGUAGAGGGAGGCGGAAUUCGUGGUGUAGCGGUGAAAUGCUUAGAUAUCACGAAGAACUCCGAUUGCGAAGGCAGUUCACUGGACUGCAACUGACACUGAGGCUCGAAAGUGUGGGUAUCAAACAGGAUUAGAUACCCGGGUAGUC